rnacentral:rRNA from 1 species
AUUGAACGCUAGCGGCAUGCCUAACACAUGCAAGUCGAACGAGUGGCGGACGGGUGAGUAAUAUCUCGGAAACUGCCCAGUAGAGGGGGAUAACUACUCGAAACAGUGGCUAAUACCGCAUACCAUCGGAUUGGCCCAUAUGGGAUUAGCUAGUAGGUGGGGUAAUGGCUCACCUAGGCGACGAUCCCUAGCUGGUUUGAGAGGAUGACCAGCCACACUGGAACUGAGACACGGCCCAGACUCCUACGGGAGGCAGCAGUGGGGAAUAGUGGACAAUGGGGGAAACCCUGAUGCAGCCAUCCCGCGUGUAUGAAGAAGGCCUUCGGGUUGUAAAGUACUUUUAGCGAGGAGGCGGUACCUGCAGAAGAAGCACCGGCUAACUACGUGCCAGCAGCCGCGGUAAUAC